GGGAGUCUUAGAUGGUAUAGGUCUCCUAGAAGUUACUGACAAAAGAAAAAUGAAUAACUGGCCCCCUGGAUAGUCCAACACCCUCAUAUAGCUAAACUAGUUGUUUCUCAGUGGGCAGACCCCUGGGGGGGGGGAUCAGAGGGGGCUGGUCUGGCAGUCUAUUGCCCACUCUAUGAAAUUCCUUGUGUCCAGCUCUGGUGAUGGCUAUCUAGAUGUUUUAUGGUCUAGGCCUGGUGCAAGAUCAAAGACCACAAUAAAUGUCAUCCCAAGG